GGAUAGUUCAGUUAGGUGAGCAUAAGAUUCUUAAUCUCAGGGUUGUGGGUACGAGCCCCACGUGGAGCA